CCUACGGGUGGCAGCAGUGAGGAAUAUUGGUCAAUGGCCGCAAGGCUGAACCAGCCAAGUCGCGUGAGGGAUGACGGUCCUAUGGAUUGUAAACCUCUUUUGUCAGGGAGCAAAGGGCGCCACGCGUGGCGCUUUGCGAGUACCUGAAGAAAAAGCAUCGGCUAACUCCGUGCCAGCAGCCGCGGUAAUACGGAGGAUGCGAGCGUUAUCCGGAUUUAUUGGGUUUAAAGGGUGCGCAGGCGGAAUGUCAAGUGCGCGGUAAAAUUUCGGGGCUCAACCCCGUCGGGCCGUUGAAACUGGCGUUCUGGCGUGGGCGAGAAGUAUGCGGAAUGCGUGGGGUAGCGGUGAAAUGCAUAGAUAUCACGCAGAACUCCGAUUGCGAAGGCAGCAUACCGGCGCUCAACUGACGCUCAUGCACGAAAGCGUGGGUAUCGAACAGGAUUAGAUACCCGAGUAGUC
rnacentral:rRNA from 1 species